rnacentral:rRNA from 1 species
AGUGAACGCUGGCGGUAGGCCUAACACAUGCAAGUCAAACGGCAGCACAGAGGAGCUUGCUCCUUGGGUGGCGAGUGGCGGACGGGUGAGGAAUACAUCGGAAUCUACUCUGUCGUGGGGGAUAACGUAGGGAAACUUACGCUAAUACCGCAUACGACCUACGGGUGAAAGCAGGGGAUCUUCGGACCUUGCGCGAUUGAAUGAGCCGAUGUCGGAUUAGCUAGUUGGCGGGGUAAAGGCCCACCAAGGCGACGAUCCGUAGCUGGUCUGAGAGGAUGAUCAGCGACACUGGAACGGAGACACGGGCGAGACUCCUACGGGAGGCAGCAGUGGGGAAUAUUGGACAAUGGGGGCAAGCCUGAUCCAGCCAUACCGCGUGGGUGAAGAAGGCCUUCGGGUUGUAAAGCCCUUUUGUUGGGAAAGAAAUCCAUCUGGUUAAUACCCGGGUGGGAUGACGGUACCCAAAGAAUAAGCACCGGCUAACUUCGUGCCAGCAGCCGCCGUAA